CUGGGCAUCUAAACACUUUUGUUUAGGUGAAGUUCAAAAGGCUUGACAUGUUGCCUCAGGUCUAUCCCAGUUUUUGUUUAAACGUCUGCUAGAGGAGGGCAGACACAGCUAAUGAUGAGUGUUGGUCUAACAGGUUUGUGUGUCUAGACCAACUGACAGUGUAGACUGUCUCUAUUCAAAUGUCAACUGUCAAAAUAGAGCUGUCAUGAAAACAACUUUUGAUAAAAGCAAAUUGGCUGUUUGAUUGAUAACUUGAUUUUUUUGCUUGACUAUUUUUUGAACAUUUUUACUGACAAGGGAAAUCAGUCAAAGCUCCAAAUUCUGUUGGAGCUAACAGCAUAAUAUGACAAUCCCCCCAAAACCUAAUGAAAGAUCAGCCGACAUUAGCAGAGGAGUGUCCAGGACAAGGGAAUUGAGAGUCUGGUGGUGCUCUGUCCACUCAGACUCCAGCUUGAGUGGUUACAUUGUCCUUGGAGCCAUACUUUAUCAAAGUCAUUGGCUCAGUGCUCUAUCCACAAUGGGUUGCUUGGCUGCCUCUAGAGAAGAUUCCUGUUCAGUUUUGGGCUGUGCCAGAUGUUCUCUGAAAUCCUCCAACUCUGAGAUUCUAUGAUUCAAUCAAAAGGUCGACUCAUUUGAAAGGAAGGAAGGAAGGAAGGAAGGAAGGAAAGAAAGAAAGAAAGAAAGAAAGAAAGAAAGAAACAAACAAACAAACAAAGAAACAAAGAAAGAAACAAAGAAACAAAGAAGGAAAGAAACAAAGACAAAGAAAGAGGAAGAAAGAAAGAAAGAGAAAGAAAGAAAAGAAAGGAGGGAAGGAUGAAAGCAGGGAAGGAAGGAAGAAAGAAAGGAAGAAAGAUAGGAAGAAAGAAAAGAAGAUAGGAAGGAAGAAGGAAAGAAAGAAUAGAAGGAAAAAAGAAAAGAAAAAUCAAUAGAUGUAGUCUCUGAUAGGCAAGCAGUAAGAAGCAAAGAACUUUAGACAUAGAUCCUUUGGUUUCCAAAUUCAAAUGACAGGUUUUUAAGACCUCUUUUAACUUUCUCCUAGAGCCCUGGAUUUUAAAUGUGUGCUUGUUAAAUGACCACAUACCACUGCAAAGCAACUACCAAACACCUGGAGUUGAAAUGUCACUCCAGUAAGGAGGGUAACCAUCUAGAAGGCAUUAGUUACUUCAAUGUAGAUCACAAACUUUCAACACUUUUUUAUCCUGUGUAAAUCCUCUCCAUGUUGAUCCAUAAAUCCAGAGUUGUGCUGGAGCCAGCUCAUACUGGCCAAAGCUGAUUGUUAAAUUUCGUUGUGAGCAUUUUCACCUCUGAAAUUGGCAAACGUUAUGAACCAGGACUUGAUUUUUGUUGUGUAGAUUUGAAAAGGUGAUGGAGAAAAUAUUAUAAUGCAGGUUAAACUAAAAUGUUGUCAUGCCUAUAUUUUUUCUUCUAGAGAGCUGGUUGUUAAAUUUUGCCAGUGCAUUUUACAUAUUAGUGUCAUAUGCUGGGGACCUUCUAGUUCUUUUAAACUUUCUUAAAUACUAGUACUGUGUAACACCUGAACUAACAAUUGCUUCACAUGUAAAAGCUCCUUGAGGUCAGAAACUGUUUGCAUGUCUGUCUUUGUGUCUCCUAGCACCCAAGCACAGUACCUGGCACACAGUAAGCACUUAAUAAUAAAUGCUUAUCGACUGUCUGAUUGAUGGCUUUG
ensembl:lncRNA